rnacentral:tRNA from 1 species
GGUCUUAUAUUCAUAAAAUGAUAUUGAAAUGCAAUUUCAAAGGCGUAUUAUUAUCAAUUACUAAGACUU